GACGAACGCUGGCGGCGUGCCUAAUACAUGCAAGUCGAACGCUUCUUUCCUCCCGAGUGCUUGCACUCAAUUGGAAAGAGGAGUGGCGGACGGGUGAGUAACACGUGGGUAACCUACCCAUCAGAGGGGGAUAACACUUGGAAACAGGUGCUAAUACCGCAUAACAGUUUAUGCCGCAUGGCAUAAGAGUGAAAGGCGCUUUCGGGUGUCGCUGAUGGAUGGACCCGCGGUGCAUUAGCUAGUUGGUGAGGUAACGGCUCACCAAGGCCACGAUGCAUAGCCGACCUGAGAGGGUGAUCGGCCACACUGGGACUGGGACACGGCCCAGACUCCUACGGGAGGCAGCAGUAGGGAAUCUUCGGCAAUGGACGAAAGUCUGACCGAGCAACGCCACGUGAGUGAAGAAGGUUUUCGGAUCGUAAAACUCUGUUGUUAGAGAAGAACAAGGACGUUAGUAACUGAACGUCCCCUGACGGUAUCUAACCAGAAAGACACGGCUAACUACGUG
rnacentral:rRNA from 1 species